CCAGCGAUCCACUUCAGUUUCCGGCCAACACGGGGGCGAAAUCCCCGAGAUGUAUGACCGAGGGCUGCGGGAGAGAGACUCAGCUUCAAUGUCCCACUUGCAGGAAGCUGGGCCUCCAGGAAGCUUUCUUCUGCUCUCAGGAAUGCUUCAAGAACAGCUGGCAGGAACAUAAGAAACUCCACCGGAGAGCCCGUGCAGAGACCCAGCCCGGGACCGACAGGGUGACCUCAGAGCUCGAACCUCAGCCCCACGACGUGGGCUCACCCGCCGAGCUCCAACAAAAGGUCCAAGUCCAAGUCAAGUCUCACGUCCCUGAGAUCCAAGUCAAGUCUCACGUCCCUGAGCUCCAGGUCCAGCCGCCAGCCCCUGAGCUCCAGGUCCAGCCUCCAGUCCCUGAGCUCCAGGUCCAGCCUCCAGUCCCUGAGCUCCAGGUCCAGCCUCCAGUCCCUGAGCUCCAAG
ensembl:lncRNA